CCCUAUGGGGUGCAGAGCGAAAUAACCCUUCUGCUGGAUCAAUUCAAGGGCAGGGGGAUCCAGGUGAGGAGAUCCCAAGUCUACAACAACUGGGGAGGAUACGUCAGCAACGAGGAUGUGAAAGGCCUGGACAUCGAUAUCAACAGCCGGCCCUCCUACAAGAAGGGGGCGUGCACCAUGCUCUUCGACAGCAUCAUGAUCAUGGCCGACGGCACGGUCAACGGCUGUCCCUGCCGGGACGUCGACGCAUCGUUGAAGAUCGGGGACCUGCGCGGGGAGCCCCUGGCGGAGAUCCUAUCGAGCCGCAACCAGGCCUACAUGCAGCUCAUCGACGGGCAGCAGAAAGGAAUCUACCCCCCCGUGUGCAGGAAUUGGCGGGGGGGC
rnacentral:rRNA from 1 species